AUCGCCGAAACCGGGGGUGUGUGACUUUUUCCCUCUAGCGUUCCAGAUUCUGCUGGGUCUGUCUCCGGGCAGUCUGAAAAAACAUUAUUUGUCCUUGUUUUAACAUAGGCUAUCAACAGAUCUAUAACUAAUAAAAAGGCUGAUAACUAAUAACAAAACUGUAUAAUGGUCCCAUACCUUGUCCCUGGAGCUCCGGUUUGUACAGAGUUGGUUAAAUCCGCUCUUUUGCUCCCCGUUUACAUGGCUAAUAAUCUCCAAGGUGCUCUAAACGGUGUUGUUUGUGUGAAUAUUGUUUUCCAUAAAGUUAAUAACCCCCCCCCCCCCCCCCCUAAAACGAAAUAUGAAAUGACCUCUUCCCCUAUCGUUAAAGCGUGCGAUACAUUUUUAAAACCAGUGAUUUAAUUCAAAAUAUUUAGUACCUACAUUUUAACACAUGUUAUAAUUCCAAAUUAUGUGUCCACUGUGCGGGGAAAAUGAUAAUACAAGCGGAACUACGUAGCUAAUACUGUUGUAACUGGGGAUCCUUAUUGUAGCAACACACUUUUGUAGGGAAGGCAAUCCUGCGCUGCGUUAGCUAAAUUUUCAUGUCAUCGGGUGUAGUUCAUAAAGGUUGAAGAGUGUAUGUUAGGAUGAAGUGUGAAUUCAUGCCAGGAAUAAUAAGUGUGAAGUUUGAUUUCCUCCCUUCUGUAAUAAGCAGCCAAUGAGUUCUCACUGAAGGGGAUAAUUCUCACUGAAACUACUGAAUAAAGCCGCCAGUUAAAAUCAUGGAACGGUUGUGCUUAAAUCCGCUCUUUUGCUCCCCGUUUACAUGGCUAAUAAUCUCCAAGCUGCUCUAAACGGUGUUGUUUGUGUGAAUAUUGUUUUCCAUAAAGUUAAUAACCCCCCCUAAAACGAAAUAUGAAAUGACCUCUUCCCCUAUCUUUAAAGCGUGCGAUACAUUUUUAAAACCAGUGAUUUAAUUCAAAAUAUUUAGUACCUACAUUUUAACACAUGUUAUAAUUCCAAAUUAUGUGUCCGCUGUGCGGGGAAAAUGAUAAUACAAGCGGAACUACGUAGCUAAUACUGUUGUAACUGGGGAUCCUUAUUGUAUAGCAACACACUUUUGUAGGGAAGGCAAUCCUGCGCUGCGUUAGCUAAAUUUUCAUGUCAUCGGGUGUAGUUCAUAAAGGUUGAAGAGUGUAUGUUAGGAUGAAGUGUGAAUUCAUGCCCGGAAUAAUAAGUGUGAAGUUUGAUUUCCUCCCUUCUGUAAUAAGCAGCCAAUGAGGUAUUUUUUCCUUUAUUCAUGUGUUUAAUCUGAACCCCUUAUAACGCCGGUUAAACUGUUAUGUAUGUAAGCACUUCAGAGUUAUACCAAGCUAAUAAGUCACUACUAAGAUAAUGUUGUAAGAGUGUGCUUAACUGUAUUUUUAAUUUACUUUAUAGUUCUCACUGAAGGGGAUAAUUCUCACUGAAACUACUGAAUAAAGCCGCCAGUUAAAAUCAUUGAACGGUUGUGCUCGUGGUUACUGAAGGAGCUAUGCCCACAUCAUUAAUGAAUAAGAUGUGUGGAAAACUGUUUAGCCAUAGUUAAAGGCCUUUCAUAAAGAGCCUGUCAUGAUUGCAUGUCCCUUAUGUUUAACACGUAUUGCUUGUUACAGAAUACUACUGUUGUACAUUUAAUAUCCCCUAGCAGAUUUCGUUGCCUUUGCACAAAUUCUGUCAUGUUACUGUGGUCUUUUUAAAAGUCAAUAAAAAUGUGUGUAAAGUGGC